rfam:Bacillus sp. 2_A_57_CT2 genomic scaffold supercont1.1, whole genome shotgun sequence.
AACGCUUUUUAACUAAGUCCCGAGAGGCUUAUAAGGGUGUUGGCGGCAAACCUGCUAUACGGGGAUCAGUGUAUCCGUAUAUCUGGCUGCCUCAACUUUGCAGCACCCUGACCAAAUCGGCAGGGUGCUUUUUUU